rnacentral:rRNA from 1 species
AGCGAACGCUGGCGGCAGGCCUAACACAUGCAAGUCGAACGGAUCCUUCGGGAUUAGUGGCGGACGGGUGAGUAACACGUGGGAACGUGCCCUUUGGUUCGGAACAACUCAGGGAAACUUGAGCUAAUACCGGAUGUGCCCUUCGGGGGAAAGAUUUAUCGCCAUUGGAGCGGCCCGCGUCUGAUUAGCUAGUUGGUGAGGUAACGGCCCACCAAGGCGACGAUCAGUAGCUGGUCUGAGAGGAUGAUCAGCCACACUGGGACUGAGACACGGCCCAGACUCCUACGGGAGGCAGCAGUGGGGAAUCUUGCGCAAUGGGCGAAAGCCUGACGCAGCCAUGCCGCGUGAAUGAUGAAGGUCUUAGGAUUGUAAAAUUCUUUCAGCGGGGACGAUAAUGACGGUACCCGCAGAGGAAGCUCCGGCUAACUUCGUG